rnacentral:sRNA from 1 species
AGUUCUGGACCCUGGCAGGAAGAGCUCUUCUUAGCAAAAAAGGGCUACUGAGCACACUGGAAGAUGCCCGGAUGCAGACCAUGCUCGCUAUUGCAUUUGGUGCAAAUAACUUGACGUUUACAGGUACCAUCAGUGGUGAUGUCUGUGUGUGGAAAGAUCACAUAUUGUGUAGAAUCGUGGCGAGAGCUCACAACGGGCCUGUGUUUGCCAUGUACACCACCCUGCGAGAUGGACUUAUCGUGACUGGGGGAAAGGAAAGGCCGGCAAGAUCCUUGUUGGGACAAGGAAUGCUGAAAUAAUCGAAGUUGGAGAGAAAAAUGCAGCUUGUAAUAUUUUAGUUAACGGUCAUGUGGA